UACGGGGGGGGCAAGCGUUGUUCGGAAUUACUGGGCGUAAAGGGCUCGUAGGCGGCCAACUAAGUCAGACGUGAAAUCCCUCGGCUUAACCGGGGAACUGCAUCUGAUACUGGAUGGCUUGAGAUUGGGAGAGGGAUGCGGAAUUCCAGGUGUAGCGGUGAAAUGCGUAGAUAUCAGGAGGAACACCGGUGGCGAAGGCGGGUCUCUGGGCCGAUACUGACGCUGAGGAGCGAAAGCGUGGGGAGCGAACAGG
rnacentral:rRNA from 1 species